CGGAUGCUGACGAGUGGCGAACGGGUGAGUAAUACAUCGGAACGUGCCCAGUAAUGGGGGAUAGCUCGGCGAAAGCCGGAUUAAUACCGCAUACGCCCUGAGGGGGAAAGUGGGGGACCGCAAGGCCUCACGUUAUUGGAGCGGCCGAUGGCUGAUUAGCUAGUUGGUAGGGUAAAGGCCUACCAAGGCGACGAUCAGUAGCUGGUCUGAGAGGACGAUCAGCCACACUGGGACUGAGACACGGCCCAGACUCCUACGGGAGGCAGCAGUGGGGAAUUUUGGACAAUGGGGGAAACCCUGAUCCAGCAAUGCCGCGUGUGCGAAGAAGGCCUUCGGGUUGUAAAGCACUUUUGUCAGGGAAGAAAUCCUUUGGGCUAAUACCCUAGGGGGAUGACGGUACCUGAAGAAUAAGCACCGGCUAACUACGUGCCAGCAGCCGCGGUAAUACGUAGGGUGCAAGCGUUAAUCGGAAUUACUGGGCGAAAAGCGUGCGCAGGCGGUUGUGUAAGACAGGUGUGAAAUCCCCGGGCUUAACCUGGGAAUUGCAUUUGUGACUGCACGACUAGAGUGUGUCAGAGGGGGGUGGAAUUCCACGUGUAGCAGUGAAAUGCGUAGAUAUGUGGAGGAACACCAAUGGCGAAGGCAGCCCCCUGGGAUAACACUGACGCUCAUGCACGAAAGCGUGGGGAGCAAACAGGAU
rnacentral:rRNA from 1 species